UACGUAGGGGGCAAGCGUUGUCCGGAAUCAUUGGGCGUAAAGAGCGCGUAGGCGGCCCAGUAAGUCCGCUCUGAAAGUCAGAGGCUCAACCUCUGAAUGCGGGUGGAUACUGCUGGGCUAGAGUCCGGAAGAGGCGAGUGGAAUUCCUGGUGUAGCGGUGAAAUGCGCAGAUAUCAGGAGGAACACCGAUGGCGAAGGCAGCUCGCUGGGACGGUACUGACGCUCAUGCACGAAAGCGUGGGGAGCAAACAGG
rnacentral:rRNA from 1 species